UAGAAGGUGAAAAUGGCAUAUUUAUUGUUCCCUUUUGAUCCCCAACUUUGUUUUACGUCUAAAAAAUGAAUAGUAAUAGUUGCGAAUAUUUAAUUUUGAACACAAUCGACCAGCCUCCAGUAAGAAAAAUACGGCCUGAUUUAUUGCGAAUUUGUUACAUGUUGGAAACGAAGCAUAGUGUAAACUCAACCAACGUCCAGGCUGAGUUGUAUAGACUGAAACACCAUAAUCAAAGUUGAUAAUGAAGGUUGAAUCAGUUAUCAGAAGUAACAAUAAUAACAGUUGUUCAACUCGCACGAUAUAACUAAUGUUGGGGCGCAGUAGUUCAGCUGAUCUCAAGUACAGCGGCUAAAACAGAACUUAGUGUUCAUGUUGAAGUAACAGAAAAAAUAAUCUUCCACACUUUCAGUUCGGACAUAAGAUUAUCCUGCAGUAAAUUAGAAAAAUAAGUGGAUAAAGACUUAAGCGUCGGAACAGUCUAAAAACUGACCUUGGGAAAUUGGUUUUGCAAAUGUUCACGUAACUUAUCAUUAUUCGGGUCCAGAUAGAAACUGUUAUUUUCAUCUCAAAAAGAAAUAAAACUAUAAGUAUAAAAGUGAGGGAGAGGGAGAAAACAACAAAUCAACUUUUAUUCACGUUUUUCUGCAGAACAACAAAAAAGGCCACCAAAAGAAGCAGCGAGCUGGAACUGAUAUUCAACACCAACACCAGGAGCUAGGGAGAGGGGUGAUGGUGCAGUGUACUAGGUCAUUCCUUUUAGCAAACUAUAAGAAAACAACUAUCUAGUAAAGCACCAUAUUAAAUAUAGGUGUAUAUUAUAGAAGAUAAAAGUCACCAUGAGUUUGAAGACAACCAGACACAUUCUAACUUGGACGACUCUGCGUGACAAGAUAAAAGGAUGCCACACCCAUCGUUUCCAAAUCCAUUAAAUUGUGGAUCGUAAGACACAGUUUCAAUCUUGUCCGAUGAAAACCGCUUUUCAGAAAGCAAGUUGAGAAUGAAGAAAGUACAGCAAAGUUUGAACAGUAGGUGGAGGUGCUGAUGAGAAUAAGAUGAGAUAGCAAAAACGCAAUGCUCGUGCUUUAAUGGGAGGCUUAGUACUGACACGGAAAUGUGGAUUAUAAUGCCAGUAGAGG